rnacentral:rRNA from 1 species
GCUUGCUUUCUUUGCUGGCGACCGGCGCACGGGUGAGUAACACGUAUCCAACCUACCUUUUACUCGGGGAUAGCCUUUCGAAAGAAAGAUUAAUACCCGAUAGCAUAAUGAUUCCGCAUGGUUUCAUUAUUAAAGGAUUCCGGUAAAGGAUGGGGAUGCGUUCCAUUAGGUUGUUGGUGGGGUAACGGCCCACCAAGCCUUCGAUGGAUAGGGGUUCUGAGAGGAAGGUCCCCCACAUUGGAACUGAGACACGGUCCAAACUCCUACGGGAGGCAGCAUG